AGUAAAUGACCGUACCUGUCGGGAGUCCAAUUUAACGGAGGUAGCAAAAAUAAUUGGUUGCACUAAAAUUAUAAGAAUCGGGUGUAAUCACAAAAAUAUUGAAGUGAACAACAAUUAAUGAUGAACUCCAUGAUUCAAAACUUUCACUUUACUCUUUUGAGAUCUUACCCUUUUAUUCUGUACACAUGUACUGAUCUACACCAAAUAUUUUUAUGCAAGAUAAAGAGCUUGUGAUUUAUGUCCUCCUUGUAAGUUCCGGCGCCAAAAUGGCACCUUUUUGGACGUUGAAGAAAAAAUGGUACGUCUUCUUUCUUUUAUACCAAAAGGGGCAUUUCGUUGGUUAUCCAACGAAAUGUUAACCCCAUUUAACAUUUUCCGUCAAAUGUUAAAAAAAACAAAAUGCAUUUCGUAACAUAGUUGGCGAAAUGCAAUAUUUUUUUUUAAUUUUUUUUUUAACAUUUGACACCAAAAUGUUAGCUGGUGUCAAAUGUUUUUUAAAAAAAAAUUGCAUUUAGCCACAUACCUGGCGAAAUGCAAUUUUUUUUUUUUUUUUUGUACAUUUGACACCAAAUGUUAAAAAAAAAAAUUGUAUUUCGUUACAUACUUGGCGUGUUAUUUUUUUAAUCCUUUAUUUUGAAUAUAAAUCUAAUUCAAUUAGAUAAAAACAUAGUUAAAAGAUAUAGGAGAAAGAGUAGUUGUAAAUUGGUGAAAGAGUAGUUGAAAAUUGGUGAAACUUUAGACAGUCAUAACUUUGCGCUCGGAUAUCCGAUUUAUGCAAAAAAAAAUUUGAUUUUGCAUAUUUUUUCGAGAUCUAGCCGUGCAAACUGCCGUAAGGCGGUUUGGCCGGGCCGAUUUUCUAGAAAACCUCUUUUUUCCCUUCCAAUUUUAAUUUCCCCCCAAAUUGGCGGGAAAUUUUCAGUUUUCUUUACUUAUAAUAUGAUGAUGCGCAAUAGACACAUAAAAAUUUCGGAGUAAUGUAGCUGUGAAUGUCAAUUUCACUUAUGUGGUUUCAAUUUUUGAAAAUAAAGCUGACUAAUUUUCUCGACAUAUAAAGUUCGAUAAUAACCUUACAAAAAUAUAACACUUAAACCUAAAGUUUCCAAAACUACUGCAGUAAAAUACUGCUUUAUACAAAAAAUAAUCUAUAACGUGUGUUUUUUUUCUAAGUUUCCUAAAAUAAAAUUAUGAAAAUAUAAAUUUUUGAUGCAAUUUUAUUCUACUAUACCCAAUUUUUUUUAAUUGUUUUUAGAAACCUAGCGAAAUACAAAAAAAAAAAAAAAUUGUAUUGCAUUUCGUUACAUAAAUGGCGAAAUGCAAUAACGCAGUAAAAAAAAAAAUUGCACUUCGCCAUGUAUGUAACGAAAUGCAAUACAAUUUUUAUUUUUUUUUGUAUUUCGCUAGUUUUCUAAAAAAAAAAAAAAAAAAAAAAAUUGGGUAUAGUAGAAUAAAAUUGCAUCAAAAAUUUAUAUUUUCAUAAUUUUAUUUUAGGAAACUUAGAAAAAAAACACACGUUACAGAUUAUUUUUUGUAUAAAGCAGUAUUUUACUGCAGUAAUUUUGGAAACUUUAGGUUUAAGUGUUAUAUUUUUGUAAGGUUAUUAUAGAACUUUAUAUGUCGAGAAAAUUAGUCAGCUUUAUUUUCAAAAAUUGAAACCACAUAAGUGAAAUUGACAUUCACAGCUACAUUACUCCGAAAUUUUUAUGUGUCUAUUGCGCAUCAUAUUAUAAGUAAAGAAAACUGAAAAUUUCCCGCCAAUUUGGGGGUAAAUUAAAAUUGGAAGGGAAAAAAGAGGUUUUCUAGAAAAUCGGCCCGGCCAAACCGCCUUAUGGCAGUUUGCACGGCUAGAUCUCGAAAAAAUAUGCAAAAUCAAAAAAACAUUGCAUAAAUCGGAUAUCCGAGCGCAAAGUUAUGACUGUCUAAAGUUUCACCAAUUUUCAACUACUCUUUCACCAAUUUACAACUACUCUUUCUCCUAUAUCUUUUAACUAUGUUUUUAUCUAAUUGAAUUAGAUUUAUAUUCAAAAUAAAGGAUUAAAAAAAUAACACGCCAGGUAUGUAACGAAAUGCAAUUUGUUUUUUAACAUUUGGUGUCAAAUGUACAAAAAAAAAAAUGCAUUUCGCCAGGUAUGUGGCGAAAUGCAAUUUUUUUAAAAAAAAACAUUUGACACCAGCUAACAUUUUGGUGUCAAAUGUUAAAAAAAAAAAAAAAAAAAAUAUUGCAUUUCGCCAACUAUGUUACGAAAUGCAUUUUUUUUUUUUAACAUUUGACGAAAAAUAUUAAAUAGGGUUAACAUUUCGUUGGAUAACCAACGAAAUGCCCCUUUUGGUAUAAAAGAAAGAAGACGUACCAUUUUUGUCUUCAACGUCAAAAAAGGUGCCAUUUUGGCGCCGGACUCUUACUUUUCAUCAUAUAUUGCUAUUACUUUUGUUGCAAAAGCGGAAAGAUUUUCUUUAAAUGCAACAAAAUGACGCCUCGAACAAGUCUGAGAUCAAAAGAUCACAAUAUCAAGAAGAAUGGCAAGGCAGCAUGUCAAAAUGCCAGCCACAACUGUCGAUUUACUGAUUGGAGAGGUGGGAGCUGCAUCAGCUGUAGACUCAUU